AAUCAACAAAAUCUCACAUCAACAUCACAUUUGCCGCAGGUCAUACAUAAACCUAGAGGUGAAGACUAUCCACGCAUUGUUUCAAGCUCAAAACUUGAAGCAAUCGUUCAAUCUUUUUGUAGACAUUGAAAUUUUGGUGAAAUAAAUGUUGAUCAAUAAUUAAAAUUUCAACGUUCACGUGUCACAUAAAUUUUACACAUAGCAUGUGACUCAACAAAAAAUCGAGAAUCAUCAGAAAAGUCAUCAAACAUGACACGUGUCAACACUUGGCAGAAAUGAUUUAUUUCAUCUGAUUAUUUAAAUCCAAAAAUCAAGUUUUGUAAGUCUAUAAAUAGGAAGCCAAGGCAUUCAUUUUGGGGCACCAAUUGAUAACCAAUUCACAUCGCACCAAAACCUUAAGGCUUUGAACUUCGAAGCUCCUAAGCAAAUCUCGAAGGAUCAAGAAAGCUCUCUUCGUUCUUUGUCAAAUCCUCAUUCAAGAUCAAGCCCCAAUGGCCCUUGAAGAACUUCCACCAAUUCA
rnacentral:lncRNA from 1 species